AUUGAACGCUGGCGGCAGGCCUAACACAUGCAAGUCGAGCGGCAGCGGGACCUUCGGGUUGCCGGCGAGCGGCGGACGGGUGAGUAAUGCCUAGGAAUCUGCCUGUUAGUGGGGGAUAACGCGGGGAAACUCGCGCUAAGACCGCAUACGUCCUACGGGAGAAAGGGGGGGACACUCGGGCCUCACGCUAACAGAUGAGCCUAGGUCGGAUUAGCUAGUUGGUGGGGUAAAGGCCCGCCAAGGCGACGAUCCGUAACUGGUCUGAGAGGAUGAUCAGUCACACUGGAACUGAGACACGGUCCAGACUCCUACGGGAGGCAGCAGUGGGGAAUAUUGGACAAUGGGCGAAAGCCUGAUCCAGCCAUGCCGCGUGUGUGAAGAAGGUCUUCGGAUUGUAAAGCACUUUAAGUUGGGAGGAAGGGCGCUCGGUGAAUACCCAGGCGUCUUGACGUUACCGACAGAAUAAGCACCGGCUAACUUCGUGCCAGCAGCCUCAGUAAGAC
rnacentral:rRNA from 1 species